ACGCACACACAGCUGCACCCCUUCCCUACCUUCACUUACCCACAAAAAUCCCAUCAGAAGGAAAGAAAGAAAAGAAGAAAAGGAAGAGAGGAGUGGGGGACCGCGGGAAAAGGAAAGAAGGGAGAGAGAAGAAGGACGGCGCCGGCGGGUGUCACUGCCGCCGCGCCGCCGUGUCGCACCGAUGAGGGAGAGCGUCGGGGAGGAAAUUCAAAUGCCGCCGCCUUGACGUCCUACCGCUCGUGUCAUCGUCGCCAGCUUCGUCGGAUCCUUGCCGCCGAACCCGUUCUUACCGCCGCUGCUGGAAUCACGAACAGGGGAAGGAAAAGACGCGGGCCAGUGCCGCGAAGAGGAGCGCGACCCGCUACGCAACACUGCGCCGCCGUGUGUUUUUGCCGUCGCCGAGCUCCCGUGGUUGCCGCCGGCAAGGUUCAAAGAGAGAGAAGCUAGAGGAGAGAGAAAGAUCGACGAAGGGGGUUUUGUUCGAGCGGCCGUGCCUCCACCGCCUUUCACCGCCGCAGAUUCGCCACCAUCCACCGCGCCGCACCAUGCCACGUUGCCGCUGUUCUUUACUGCGCAGCCACCGCCACGCCUUGUCGUCGCCAGAGUUGCCACCGCCGCUUCUCACCACCGAGGAGAAAGCUUGCCUACGUUGCUGCCUUCCGGGCCAGAUUCACCGGUAACCCUGUUUCUGCUUUCCUGAACCAUGUUCCACUAUUUUGAUUAUUGUUGGUGUCUCUGCUACCUUAAUCACUCAAAUUAAUUCCACCAUCGCCACUGGCUUGCCAUUUUUGCUCGGCUGUGCCCUUAUUCGUCGUUCUGAUUGUUGAAAGGAAAUGAUGUCGAAGUUAUAGUUUCUCCGUUUUCCAUUCUCUUGUUUCUUUUCUGAGGGUGUUUGGAAUACAAAUCAUGACGUAGCUGCUGCAGAAUAAGGUGAAAAGAGGGUUUGUCGCAUUAAAAUCGUUGCGGGUUUGAUUCUUUGAGGUAGUGGUUUUCUUAAAAUCUAUUUUACAUUACAGAGUUGUGAUAAAUAGAUAUUGAUACAAAAAAAUAUACUUCUGUGAUUAUAUUUGUCUUGUGGAUGUGAUGGUUUAUUGAAUUGGAUUAUUGGGUGCUUGAUUGUGUGAGUGGUGUAUGGUUGUUGAUAAAAACCGGUUUGAAAUGUUAUUUGCUUGACUAUUAUGAAAGGUAGAUUUCUUUGGUUUUGGAGUUUACUUAGUAAUAUAAAUGAAUCAAUUUUGGGGAUUGGUUGAUUUGGGGUUGGUCUGAUUUUAUAAAUGAUUUACUAUUUGAGCUGAUUUGAUUUUAAAAAGAGUUUUACUGUUGAAACUGGUAUGAUUUAAAAAUAACUUGGUAUUGGAACUGGCUCAACUCUGAAAAAUGUUUGAGAUUUGGAAAUGGUUGAGAAAGAUUUGAGAAGUGUUUGGAUGGACCCAGAAAGGGUGGCAGCGUCUGAGUUUUAGAGGAGAUGCUAUUGAAAUUUUAUAAAAUUGGAAGUUCCACUUUAAGUAUUAUUUGAAAAGAUUUGGUUUUAAACAUUACAUGUCUUAAGGUUGAUUUAUUUACCAAAGAAAGAAUUAUUUUGAAUUGGGAUUGUCAAUGAGCGGAAUGGAGAGAAGGAUGAUAAAGAUUUUCUUUGAAAUAUGAGUUUUGAAUGAAUUUGAACAUGAGAUAUGGAUUGAGAAUGUUACAUGAAGGUUAAUUCCAUGGCUUGAUAAAUGAUUAUAUACUGAUUAUGAGAAUGAAAUGGCUUAUGAAUGAUGAUAGCUGAGAUACGAGGUUCCUUGGAUUAAGUGCCGUGGCAUGCCACCACGUGUACCAGGUUGAAAACUCGAUGCUCUGUUGACCCUACGAUGUAAGUGUAACCGGGCACUAUAUAAAUUUCCGGAAAUGUUACCUCCAUUGAGCAAUAUUGAUUAUUUGAGAAAAAGCUAUGCAUAGACUCAUGGGGAUGCAUGUCGGGGGACAGUCUAAGUGCAAUUCAGACUUGUCAGGCUGGCUGGAUAACUGACAGAUGAGCCUCAUCAGCCAUAGGACAUGCAUUCAUCAUAUGCAUUUGUAUGCUUUGCUUGAGUUUAAACUUGUUUGGGUUUGCCUAAUUGUUAAACUGUUCUUAACUGCUACUUGAACUAUUUGCUGUAACUGUUACUUACUUGUGCUUUGUUUGUCUGUCUUGCCUGUGUUUGUUCUGGCGUGCUACAUUUGAGAAUGAACUUUGGUGCUGAAUUAAUGAUUGUAUUGUUCGAUUGCGUGGUUAGCUUCCGAUCGAGAUUUUCUUAUAAGAAAGGAAAGGUUUCGGACUUCUAAAAAAUUAAACAUUGUUUUCUUUGAAGAGGUUUUGAACGAUUACCUAUUAUUUUUUUUAAAAGAUUCAUAAGGUAAUGAUAAUCAUUGAGCUUGAAAACAGAUUUUUAAUUAAAUAUCUUCUUAUGACAACUUUGAAACACCGUAGUGAGACCGUGUGGUUAGGUUCUCACCCCCCUGCAGCUUUACUUUUUCUGGAACCAGAUGAAGCAUUAUGAAGAGUUAGAUUGUUUAUAUGUGGUAUUAAUUAGAUUAUUUUCUUCUCUCGUCUUUGUUAUUACAAGUUUGUAAGAGGGAUAGGAAUUGUAUGUUUUAUAUGUAUAUUAUAUUAUGAGUUAUUAUGUAAGGAGUUUUGUAUAUGAA